rnacentral:rRNA from 1 species
UACGUAGGGGGCAAGCGUUGUCCGGAAUCACUGGGCGUAAAGGGCGCGUAGGCGGCGCGGGUAGUCAUCGGUGAAAGUUCAGGGCUCAACUCUGAAUCGGCCGGUGAUACUCCCGUGCUCGAGCACUGUAGAGGCAGGUGGAAUUCCGGGUGUAGCGGUGGAAUGCGUAGAGAUCCGGAAGAACACCGGUGGCGAAGGCGGCCUGCUGGGCAGUAGCUGACGCUGAUGCGCGACAGCGUGGGGAGCAAACAGG